rnacentral:misc_RNA from 1 species
GAAACACGAUAGUUAAUGUGAAUUGCAGAAUUCAGUGAAUCAUCGAGUCUUUGAACGCACAUUGCGCCCAUAGGUAUUCCUUUGGGCAUGUCUGUUUGAGCGUCAUUACAACCCUCAGCUAACCGCUGGUUUUGAACCUGAACGGGUGACACCGCGCCGGUUUUAAAGUUGUAAGCUCUGCUGGCCGCUCUGCCCAACCAGAACAUAGUAAGCACUACUUGUCCGGGUGAAGCUGAACGGUACGGCCUGAACAAAACCUACCCACUCUCAAGGUUUGACCUCAGAUCAGACAAGGAUACCCGCUGAACUUAAGC